CGUACACUCCUGCGGGAGGCAGCAGUGAGGAAUAUUGGACAAUGGGUGGAAGCCUGAUCCAGCCAUCCCGCGUGCAGGAAGACGGCCCUAUGGGUUGUAAACUGCUUUUAUCUGGGGAUAAACCUACUUACGUGUAAGUAGCUGAAGGUACCAGAAGAAUAAGCACCGGCUAACUCCGUGCCAGCAGCCGCGGUAAUACGGAGGGUGCAAGCGUUAUCCGGAUUUAUUGGGUUUAAAGGGUCCGUAGGCGGACUGAUAAGUCAGUGGUGAAAUCCGACAGCUUAACUGUCGAACUGCCAUUGAUACUGUUAGUCUUGAGUAAGGUUGAAGUGGCUGGAAUAAGUAGUGUAGCGGUGAAAUGCAUAGAUAUUACUUAGAACACCAAUUGCGAAGGCAGGUCACUAAGUCUUAACUGACGCUGAUGGACGAAAGCGUGGGGAGCGAACAGGAUUAGAAACCCCUGUAGUCCCAUGA
rnacentral:rRNA from 1 species